rnacentral:lncRNA from 1 species
CCAGACCGCCAUUACAGAACUCAGUGAAAUUGUAUUGUUCUAGAGAAGAAAACGUCAUCACGUGCAUUUUGAAGUGAAUGUUAUAUCCUCAUCUUAAAGCCAGCUCUCUGAGAUAACUGAUAACUCCAGCAGUGUUUCCUAACCUACCACGCUCUCGGUGUCAUCAUCUAAAAGGUGCUCCCUUCAGGAACAAAUUUACACAGACCUCUGGAAACAUAUCUGCAGUUGCCUAAAGGAAAAGGAAACGGCAAGAACUAGGCAGACAAAGCGAUCCUGAGAUCA